GAUGAACGCUGGCGGCGUGCUUAACACAUGCAAGCCGAACGAAGCACCUUGAUUCGAUUCUUCGGAUGAAGAUCUUGGUGACUGAGUGGCGGACGGGUGAGUAACGCGUGGGUAACCUGCCUCAUACAGGGGGAUAACAGUUAGAAAUGACUGCUAAUACCGCAUAAGACCACAGCACCGCAUGGUGCAGGGGUAAAAACUCCGGUGGUAUGAGAUGGACCCGCGUCUGAUUAGGUAGUUGGUGGGGUAACGGCCUACCAAGCCGACGAUCAGUAGCCGACCUGAGAGGGUGACCGGCCACAUUGGGACUGAGACACGGCCCAAACUCCUACGGGAGGCAGCAGUGGGGAAUAUUGCACAAUGGGGGAAACCCUGAUGCAGCGACGCCGCGUGAGCGAUGAAGUAUUUCGGUAUGUAAAGCUCUAUCAGCAGGGAAGAAAAUGACGGUACCUGACUAAGAAGCACCGGCUAAAUACGUG
rnacentral:rRNA from 1 species